UUAGUGGAAGCGUCUGGAAAGGCGCGCGAUACAGGGUGACAGCCCCGUACACAAAAGCGCAUGUGCUGUGAGCUCGAUGAGUAGGGCGGGACACGUGGUAUCCUGUCUGAAUAUGGGGGGACCAUCCUCCAAGGCUAAAUACUCCUGACUGACCGAUAGUGAACCAGUACCGUGAGGGAAAGGCGAAAAGAACCCCGGCGAGGGGAGUGAAAAAGAACCUGAAACCGUGUACGUACAAGCAGUGGGAGCCCCACCACUAAGCCAGUGGUGAACUCCACAUACGCAUCCUUUGCUGAGGAUACGGUUAACGGAGCGAAAGCGACGUUCAACCUCAAAAGAAGCAGAGGGGGCUUAGUGGUGGGGUGACUGCGUACCUUUUGUAUAAUGGGUCAGCGACUUAUAUUCUGUAGCAAGGUUAACCGAAUAGGGGAGCCGUAGGGAAACCGAGUCUUAAUUGGGCGUUAAGUUGCAGGGUAUAGACCCGAAACCCGGUGAUCUAGCCAUGGGCAGGUUGAAGGUUGGGUAACACUAACUGGAGGACCGAACCGACUAAUGUUGAAAAAUUAGCGGAUGACCUGUGGCUGGGGGUGAAAGGCCAAUCAAACCGGGAGAUAGCUGGUUCUCCCCGAAAGCUAUUUAGGUAGCGCCUCGUGAAUUCAUCUCCGGGGGUAGAGCACUGUUUCGG
rnacentral:rRNA from 1 species